UCUAAUCUUGUCAAAGCAAAUCCAAGACGAGUUAUAAGUCUAGUCUAAGCAAAUGUCAAGUAAAGCCCUUGAGAGCAAGUCCGAGUCAAGUCGCAAGUCUAGUCUCAAGUCUUGUCAAAUCAAGUCCCAAAUCAAGUCUCCUGCUUUGGGAGAAAGCUCAAGUCAGGUCAUGUCAAUUAUUUUUAUAAAGCCCUAUACCACCAAUCAUAAAUGUGCCUCAGGGGGCUUUGAAAUCUGUACAGCAUAUGACACCCUCUGUCCUUUAACCUUUGCUUUAGAAAG